rnacentral:rRNA from 1 species
AGUGAACGCUGGCGGUAGGCCUAACACAUGCAAGUCGAACGGCAGCACAGUAAGAGCUUGCUCUUACGGGUGGCGAGUGGCGGACGGGUGAGGAAUACAUCGGAAUCUACUUUUUCGUGGGGGAUAACGUAGGGAAACUUACGCUAAUACCGCAUACGCCCUACGGGUGAAAGCAGGGGAUCUUCGGACCUUGCGCGAUUGAAUGAGCCGAUGUCGGAUUAGCUAGUUGGCGGGGUAAAGGCCCACCAAGUGGACGAUCCGUAGCUGGUCUGAGAGGAUGAUCAGCCACACUGGAACUGAGACACGGUCCCGGCUCCUACGGUAGGCAGCAGUGGGGAAUAUUGGACAAUGGGCGCAAGCCUUAUCCAGCCAUACCGCGUGGGUGAAGAAGGCCUUCGGGUUGUAAAGCCCUUUUGUUGGGAAAGAAAAGCAGCAGGUUAAUACCCCGCUGUUCUGACGGCACCCAAAGAAUAAGCACCGGCUAACUUCGUG